GGACCCUUAGAGCAACAGUUUUCUAAACUGUAGGUUGCGAGUUCAAUUCUCGCAGGGUUCA
rnacentral:tRNA from 3 species